rnacentral:rRNA from 1 species
AGAGUUUGAUCAUGGCUCAGGACGAACGCUGGCAGCGCGCCUAACACAUGCAAGUCGAACGAGCGAGAGGAGGUUUACUUUCUCAAGCGAGUGGCGAACGGGUGAGUAACGCGUGAGGAACCUGCCUCAAANAGGGGGACAACAGUUGGAAACGACUGCUAAUACCGCAUAAGCCCACGACCUGGCAUCGGGUAGAGGGAAAAGGAGCAAUCCGCUUUGAGAUGGCCUCGCGUCCGAUUAGCUAGUUGGUGAGGUAAUGGCCCACCAAGGCGACGAUCGGUAGCCGGACUGAGAGGUUGAACGGCCACAUUGGGACUGAGACACGGCCCAGACUCCUACGGGAGGCAGCA